AGUAGCUUGCAUGAAUUUCUAGACUUCAUUGGAUCGCCGCGAACGACGCUUCCGGCCCUCCGAAGGCAGGGGUUGCUGGUUCGAUCCCAGCCGGGCGCACCA
rnacentral:tRNA from 2 species